AACGAACGCUGGCGGCAGGCCUAACACAUGCAAGUCGAGCGAGACCUUCGGGUCUAGCGGCGCACGGGUGAGUAACGCGUAGGGAUCUACCCAGUAGCGGGGGACAACAGUUGGAAACGACUGCUAAUACCCCAUACGCCCUUCGGGGGAAAGAUUUAUCACUAUUGGAUGAACCUGCGUGACAUUAGCUAGAUGGUGGGGUAAUGGCCUACCAUGGCUACGAUGUCUAGCUGGUCUUAGAGGAUGAUCAGCCACACUGGAACUGAGACACGGUCCAG
rnacentral:rRNA from 1 species